rnacentral:lncRNA from 1 species
GCAAGCCCAGUUCAGUGGCCUAGUCUAACCAGGGUGAGGGGCGAACCCUGCCGGCCUCCGUCCUCUUCCGCUCGACUCAGGUGGUGCGCGGAUCCGUCCGCGCAGUAAGCGCUCCCGGUAGCGCUCCGAUCGGCUUUUCGGCAAUACCCGGAUGGAAGCAUAAUGGCCGCCAUCAGGGACUCGCAGGCAAUGGGGACCACGACAGAUAUCAUCUCUCCUUUUGAUCACUGUUCCUGAUUGUGGCUUUAUCCAAGCAUUAAAUUGUGUGCCUUUUGUUCCUUGAAGAAAGAGCUGGUGCUAGCAACUCUCAAUUCCGUCUCGUCUCUGGACCCAGCUCAAAGCUCUGGAUUUGUUCUCUUCCCAUACCUGAGCUGGAGCCUUCUGUCACCCCAAAGUGCUUCAUGCAGUCUUCCUCUCAAGCCCUCACUUCUCUCCCAAGGUGAGUUAAUGUGGGGAAAAUCCUGGUAUUCUGAAGAUGUUGCGGCACAGUAUUGUUUCCUGUUCAAAUUACAAGUAACUUCAAGAAUUUUCAGGAAGAAAAGAAUUGAGAUUG